GGGUGCGAUCAUGCCAGCACUAAAUCAUCGGAUCCUAUUAGAACUCCGAAGUUAAGUGUGCUUGGGCGAGAGU
rnacentral:rRNA from 1 species